AUAUUCCAAGUUUCACUAGUCCAUGCCGAGUACCCGACGAUGUUGGUAAUCACCCCGUUUUCCCAACACGCACGUGUACGAAUAAUUAAGUUCCGUCCUAAUACCCUCUAUCACGUACCAGGUCUACUUAUCUACCUUGGGCAGGUCUCUUUUCUUUUUCCUCUUGUUCAAGGUCUUCUUCUAACAAGAAGCAUUUGUUCAUGAUGGAAGCAGGGUUUUAUUCUCCCUCACUUACCAUGUAGUAUACAUUGUCCUCUUACCACCGUACAGUUCUAGUCCAUUCUUGAUACUACGGACACGUGAACGACUUAUUUCUACUAACACUACCGGAAUAAGGAACCUACCCACCCCUCGAAGUUGGACCAUGCAUCGAAUAAUGGAGGAUGAAAAACGUGGAUGUUUUUUAAUACAUGUAACUAUAUACACCAGAUUAGUCAUGGCACGUAGUAUUGGAUAGGAAGCAAAAUGACUUCAAAAAUCAAUAAAUAAAGAACCGGUUUGUUUAAGGGAAAGCAUACAUUCUAUGUUAACUAGUAGUACUUAUUCUUCAUGGAGUAACACUAGAUAAACAAUGACUCUUGCAGUUCAUUUUUUUUACUUUAAUAACCGUAACCUGAGAAUUUGGAAAGAGGUACAUACAUGUCUGGAGUUUAGACUUCAUCAAAAAGGAUACAUAUAUAUCCGUCAGCUGUUCUAUCGGUGUGUUUUAAAGACCACUUAUAUGUACCGAUUGUAAAAUAAUUUUUUACAAUGUAGUAGUAUGUUGACAAUACGACAGUCGCUACGUAGGCCGCCACCGCCUUUACGUGUAUGAACCCCCGCGGAGCUAGCUAUACCGACAACCGAGCGCACAAGGGGAACCGGUUUAACAACCCAUCUCCUCCUCAUCCGCCGGUCCCACUUAUUUGCCACGGAGCUCCUCAAAGAGCUAGCACGAAAAAAGGUAGGACAUCUACCAAGUCACCUAGCACUCCAAAAUACAUUCCAUAAUGUACAUUAAUUAAAAAACCAACCUACCUACGUUUUUUGUUUAGAACAUGAAUUGAGUAGACCUAACAAACACGUGUUAAUGAUCUCUUCUCUCCCCCACCAACUUUUGUCUUCUAUUUCUUCUUAUCUUCACAAAAAUA
rnacentral:rRNA from 1 species